AUUGAACGCUGGCGGCAGGCCUAACACAUGCAAGUCGAACGGUAACAGGAAGAAGCUUGCUUCUUUGCUACCGAGUGGCGGACGGGUGAGUAAUGUCUGGGAAACUGCCUGAUGGAGGGGGAUAACUACUGGAAACGGUAUCUAAUACCGCAUAACUACGCAAGACCAAAAAGGGGGACCUUCGUGCCUCUUGCCAUCGGAUGGGCCCAGAUGGGAUUAGCUAGUAGGUGGGGUAACGGCUCAACUAGGCGACGAUCCCUAGCUGGUCUGAGAGGAUGACAAGCCACACUGGAACUGAGAAACGGUCCAGACUCCUACGGGAGGCAGAAGUGGGGAAUAUUGCACAAUGGGAGCAAGCCUGAUGCAGCCAUGCCGCGUGUAUGAAGAAGGCCUUCGGGUUGUAAAGUACUUAAAGCGGGGAGGAAGGGAGUAAAGUUAAUACCUUUGCUCAUUGACGUUACCAGCAGAAGAAGCACCGGCUAACUCCGUG
rnacentral:rRNA from 1 species